rnacentral:rRNA from 1 species
AGCAGUAGCCACGGUAAUACGGAGGGUGCAAGCGUUAAUCGGAAUUACUGGGCGUAAAGCGCACGCAGGCGGUCUGACAAGUCAGAUGUGAAAUCCCCGGGCUUAACCUGGGAACUGCAUUUGAAACUGUCAGGCUGGAGUCUUGUAGAGGGGGGUGGAAUUCCAGGUGUAGCGGUGAAAUGCGUAGAGAUCUGGAGGAAUACCGGUGGCGAAGGCGGCCCCCUGGACAAAGACUGACGCUCAGGUGCGAAAGCGUGGGGAGCAAACAGGAUUAGAUACCCCCGGUAGUCCCUGUCUCUUAUA